rnacentral:misc_RNA from 1 species
GUUGUGCCGCCUUGUAUGUGCCAUGUGCUCUCCCCUUUCCUAACUAGAGAAAAAAACCUCAAGAAUCAUAUGUUACUUUUUUUUGUUUUUCUGUUUUCUGGAGUACACCAUCCCUCCAAUCCCAUCCGGAUCAACCACAAAACCCAGGGGUCUACAAAAGCCAAGAACUCAGGGUUUUGAAUACAAAGCAAUGUUCACAAU